GACGAACGCUGGCGGCGCGCCUAACACAUGCAAGUCGAACGGAGUCAAGAGGAGCUUGCUUUUCUUGACUUAGUGGCGAACGGGUGAGUAACGCGUGAGUAACCUGCCCUGGAGUGGGGGACAACAGUUGGAAACGACUGCUAAUACCGCAUAAGCCCACGGAUCCGCAUGGAUCUGCGGGCAAAGGAUUUAUUCGCUUCAGGAUGGACUCGCGUCCAAUUAGCUAGUUGGUGAGGUAACGGCCCACCAAGGCGACGAUUGGUAGCCGGACUGAGAGGUUGAACGGCCACAUUGGGACUGAGACACGGCCCAGACUCCUACGGGAGGCAGCAGUGGGGGAUAUUGCACAAUGGGGGAAACCCUGAUGCAGCGACGCCGCGUGGAGGAAGAAGGUUUUCGGAUUGUAAACUCCUGUCGUUAGGGACGAUAAUGACGGUACCUAACAAGAAAGCACCGGCUAACUACGUG
rnacentral:rRNA from 1 species